AUUGAACGCUGGCGGCAUGCUUUACACAUGCAAGUCGAACGGCAGCGCGGGCUUCGGCCUGGCGGCGAGUGGCGAACGGGUGAGUAAUGCAACGGAACGUGCCCAGUAGUGGGGGAUAGCCCGGCGAAAGCCGGAUUAAUACCGCAUACGACCUGAGGGUGAAAGCGGGGGACCGAAAGGCCUCGCGCUAUUGGAGCGGCCGAUGUCGGAUUAGCUAGUUGGUGGGGUAAAGGCUUACCAAGGCGACGAUCCGUAGCUGGUCUGAGAGGACGACCAGCCACACUGGGACUGAGACACGGCCCAGACUCCUACGGGAGGCAGCAGUGGGGAAUUUUGGACAAUGGGGCAACCCUGAUCCAGCCAUGCCGCGUGCGGGAAGAAGGCCUUCGGGUUGUAAACCGCUUUUGUUCGGGAAGAAAUCCUCUGGGCUAAUACCCCGGGGGGAUGACGGUACCGGAAGAAUAAGCACCGGCUAACUACGUG
rnacentral:rRNA from 1 species